UAAUUGAAGCCAAAACAGAGGCUUUUCAUUGUUAAUGAAAGAACUGAUCAACAAUCCAAUUAAA
rnacentral:tRNA from 1 species